rnacentral:rRNA from 1 species
GCUUGCUCUGUGGAUCAGUGGCGAACGGGUGAGUAACACGUGAGCAAUCUGCCCCUGACUCUGGGAUAAGCGCUGGAAACGGCGUCUAAUACCGGAUACGAGCUGCGACCGCAUGGUCAGUAGCUGGAAAGAAUUUCGGUCAGGGAUGAGCUCGCGGCCUAUCAGCUUGUUGGUGAGGUAAUGGCUCACCAAGGCGUCGACGGGUAGCCGGCCUGAGAGGGUGACCGGCCACACUGGGACUGAGACACGGCCCAGACUCCUACGGGAGGCAGCAGUGGGGAAUAUUGCACAAUGGGCGCAAGCCUGAUGCAGCAACGCCGCGUGAGGGAUGACGGCCUUCGGGUUGUAAACCUCUUUUAGCAGGGAAGAAGCGAAAGUGACGGUACCUGCAGAAAAAGCGCCGGCUAACUACGUGCCAGCAGCCGCGGUAAUACGUAGGGCGCAAGCGUUAUCCGGAAUUAUUGGGCGUAAAGAGCUCGUAGGCGGUCUGUCGCGUCUGCUGUGAAAACCCGAGGCUCAACCUCGGGCCUGCAGUGGGUACGGGCAGACUAGAGUGCGGUAGGGGAGAUUGGAAUUCCUGGUGUAGCGGUGGAAUGCGCAGAUAUCAGGAGGAACACCGAUGGCGAAGGCAGAUCUCUGGGCCGUAACUGACGCUGAGGAGCGAAAGGGUGGGGAGCAAACAGGCUUAGAUACCCUGGUAGUCCACCCCGUAAACGUUGGGAACUAGUUGUGGGGUCCAUUCCACGGAUUCCGUGACGCAGCUAACGCAUUAAGUUCCCCGCCUGGGGAGUACGGCCGCAAGGCUAAAACUCAAAGGAAUUGACGGGGACCCGCACAAGCGGCGGAGCAUGCGGAUUAAUUCGAUGCAACGCGAAGAACCUUACCAAGGCUUGACAUAUAGAGGAAACGUCUGGAAACAGUCGCCCCGCAAGGUCUCUAUACAGGUGGUGCAUGGUUGUCGUCAGCUCGUGUCGUGAGAUGUUGGGUUAAGUCCCGCAACGAGCGCAACCCUCGUUCUAUGUUGCCAGCACGUAAUGGUGGGAACUCAUGGGAUACUGCCGGGGUCAACUCGGAGGAAGGUGGGGAUGACGUCAAAUCAUCAUGCCCCUUAUGUCUUGGGCUUCACGCAUGCUACAAUGGCCGGUACAAAGGGCUGCAAUACCGUGAGGUGGAGCGAAUCCCAAAAAGCCGGUCCCAGUUCGGAUUGAGGUCUGCAACUCGACCUCAUGAAGUCGGAGUCGCUAGUAAUCGCAGAUCAGCAACGCUGCGGUGAAUACGUUCCCGGGUCUUGUACACACCGCCCGUCAAGUCAUGAAAGUCGGUAACACCUGAAGCCGGUG